AAUGAGACUAUAAGACACAAAAAACAGAAACGAUUAGCCAUUAUAUCUGCUGUCUUAUUAUAAUCAUGAUAAGAUUGUCUGAGAAAGAAGGGAGAUUUACUAACUCACGUUUAUGUGUAUGAAGUACUGAAACAUAGUUAAACUAAUUUAUGGGGAAGACCAGUAAGCCAACCAUCAAUAAAAAGCUAUGAAUCUUUUAUUAUAAUAAUUUGAAUCAUUACCUAUUGAACUGUUUUCUCCCAUGGGUUUAUUGUUUUAUAGACAGCGGGUACAACACAGACUCAGACUCAGUCAGGAGGGUUUAUGACUUUUGGAUGUCCUCAUCCCCUCUGUUGGCUCAUUAUGGCAGACGUCAGCGCCUGUAUUUAAGGCUCUAGUGACCUCUUCAAGGCCCCGUAUCUCUCUUCAGGGUGUAGACGACCCCUCCCCUGACGGCCGACCGAAGCCCUGACGAUACACGGGGGAGAAGCCAAGAGGGGAAAAAGGUCUAUAAUGGAGACAAUGCGUUUCACAAUAAUCACCUGCCCGGCUCUCCCCCCGCCGUCCAUUACACAGGGAUCUCUUCCACCGAAACCCUGCAGCGUUUUCUUAGAGGUCAGCUAAGGAACUCAUUUAAAUAGAGAUGCAUUUAUCUGCUUGCGAGUGAAUUAUGGCCUGUCGGAGUGGGGCGCUGCUGGUAGACACCGAUUCCUACUGCUUCCCAAGAUUGCAGAUAGCUGAGAAUCAUGGGGUAUUUAUUGAUCUCUAAGGAGCAUGCGGUGUUGGGCUCAGAAUAAUAAUCUUAUGUGUUUAAUACUGUCAGAGGGGCUGUAUACACUUGGUAUUCACAUCCAUUUCAAGACAUUAAAAUCUGUAAAUAU